rnacentral:rRNA from 1 species
CAGCCGUAAACGAUGUGCGUUAGGUGUAUCGACGACCACGAGUCGUCGAGGUGCCGAAGGGAAACCGUGAAACGUACCGCCUGGGAAGUACGGUCGCAAGGCUGAAACUUAAAGGAAUUGGCGGGGGAGCACCGCAACGGGAGGAGCGUGCGGUUUAAUUGGAUUCAACACCGUAAAACUCACCAGGGAAGACUGUUACAUGAAAGCCGAGAUGAAGACCCUGCUAGAUUUCAGAGAGGAGGUGCAUGGCGUCAGUGACU